UACGUAGAGUGCGAGCGUUGUCCGGAAUUAUUGGGCGUAAAGAGCUCGUAGGCGGUCUGUCGCGUCGAAUGUGAAAACCCGGGCUCAACUCCGGGCUUGCAUUCGAUACGGGCAGGCUAGAGUUCGGCAGGGGAGACUGGAAUUCCUGGUGUAGCGGUGGAAAUGCGCAGAUAUCCAGGAGGAACACCGGUGGCGAAGGCGGGUCUCUGGGCCGAUACUGACGUGAGGAGCGAAAGCGUGGGGAGCGAACAGGA
rnacentral:rRNA from 1 species